rnacentral:misc_RNA from 1 species
AGGAGAACCAAUAGACUGCAGGUAGAGCUCCUUUAAGCCGUUGAAGGAUUGGGCACCGGUAACGUCCCUAGGAGGUACGUUGCCCCUAAAAACAUCAAUCAUUAGCCUCAAGAGGCUCAAUCUUUCAAACAACAACCGAGUAACCCUUAUGCCUCAACCUAGGAUCCAAAACCCGCAUACAAAGAAAACCUAACAAACAAUAACACCAAACACAACAAACUCAAAUCCCAUGAAAGUACUCUCUCUAAUGAAGCUCCGAUUUGUCACAGUACCAUUUAACAAAACAUUAAUUACACCCACUUGGCUGUGGGGAGAGUCGACCCAUCACUGGACAAAGAGAGAAGCUCCCCUUGCCCAGUAAGGGCAGGAGAAGCUGCAAGAUCGGCACUGAAAAAUGCCUAGAGCGCAAAGUAAGGAAGAAAAACCAGAGAAACUUUACCUCCCACCUACCUCUCUCUAUACUUCAUUUAUUUAAAAAAUUAAUUACUGAGAUUUGAAUUUUUUAUUUUUUCUAUAAUAUUUAGUUGGACUUCUGGAGAUGGUUAUGACUCGUCAGCCAUUAUGGUAAGUGACAGAGGGACAUUAAUUCCGGCAUUUGGUCUGAUCUUACGCUUUCUUGCCCCUUGAGUCGUUACCCACACAACAAUGUUU